rnacentral:rRNA from 1 species
GAUGAACGCUGGCGGCGUGCCUAAUACAUGCAAGUCGAGCGAACAGACGCGGAUCUUGCUCCUCUGACGUUAGCGGCGGACGGGUGAGUAACACGUGUAUACCCUACCUAUAAGACUGGUAUAACUUCGGGAAACCGGAGCUAAUACCGUAUAAUAUAUUGAACCGCAUGGUUCAAUAGUGAAAGUCGGUUUUUCUGUCACUUAUCGAUGGAUCCGCGCCGCAUUAUCUAGUUGGUAAGGUAACGGCUUACCAAGGCAACGAUGCGUAGCCGACCUGAGAGGGUGAUCGGCCACACUGGAACUGAGACACGGUCCAGACUCCUACGGGAGGCAGCAGUAGGGAAUCUUCCGCAAUGGGCGAAAGCCUGACGGAGCAACGCGGCGUGAGUGAUGAAGGUCUUCGGAUCGUAAAACUCUGUUAUUAGGGAAGAACAAAUGUGUAAGUAACUAUGCACGUCUUGACGGUACCUAAUCAGAAAGCCACGGCUAACUACGUG